GGCAACCCUGACGGAGCAACGCCGCGUGGGGGAGGAAGGUCUGUGGAUUGUAAACCCCUUUUCUCUGUGAAGAAGAUCUGACGGUAGCAGAGGAAUCAGCAUCGGCUAACUCCGUGCCAGCAGCCGCGGUAAGACGGAGGAUGCAAGCGUUAUCCGGAAUUAUUGGGCGUAAAGCGUCCGCAGGCGGCUAGACAAGUCUGCUGUCAAAUCCCAGGGCUCAACUCUGGAUCGGCAGUGGAAACUGUUUAGCUUGAGUACGGUAGGGGUAGAGGGAAUUCCUGGUGUAGCGGUGAAAUGCGUAGAUAUUGGGAAGAACACCAGUGGCGAAGGCGCUCUGCUGGGCCAUAACUGACGCUGAGGGACGAAAGCUAGGGGAGCG
rnacentral:rRNA from 1 species